CCCUCUGGACUUCCUUCUCUUGGUUUGAAGCUAAUCUCUCCUGUGAACUCACUCUGCCCCUCUUCUUUCUGCCUUUAAUUUUCUCAAUGUUAUCCAUUCACUUAGGAAAAAAAAAAAAAACUGUUUCUGUU
rfam:Loxodonta africana unplaced genomic scaffold scaffold_65, whole genome shotgun sequence.